rnacentral:lncRNA from 1 species
GAUUAUGUGUUAUGUGACUAGCAUCAUAAGAAAUGUUAAAAUAAGGAAAAAAUGAAGGAAAGAAACUUCUUUUACGAUUGUCAGCAAAUAUCUGUGAACCACAUAGGUAGAAUAAGUGACUCUGGGCUCACAUGCAGUUUGCUUUCAGGAGAAGAAAACAGCGAGGAGCUAAGAGAAUAUUACCUUUUUUCCACAAAAAAUAGAUGUGGAGGAAUUAAAAGUAAUAGGAUGGUUUUACUAUUCAUACACGUGGAAGAAAUGCAUUUUUAAAUAACCCCCCAAAAUUCUUCCUCAUGCUGUAGGAUUUUUCAUAAAUAUACACAGAGGCUGAUGCAAGAGCUGAUUAUGGGGGAAAGGGUGUUUCCUGUAUCAGUUCUGAAAGCCUUAUUAUAUCUUAAAUGACACUGUAGGCUUUCUUAAUAAAUGGAAACAUUCCUCCAUCUCCAUAGAGUUAAAGUUGUCCACUGACUACAGGGCUUGUUUUGGGAUUAGUCAACACUCAGUUAUAUCUCUGUGCAAAAGUUAGUGGGCCUAGGCUUUUCAUCACGUGAUGGCAACUCCAGGGAAUGAGAAAUAUGUGACAUCCACUUUCUGAGAGAUAUUAAUUUUGGGAAGUGAAAGAAGGAAAGGGAUUCUGCACAAUGAAUCAUGGGAUUCCAAUCCUUUAUUGAAAGGUUCACUGACUUAUCAGGGUGAAAGAGUAGCUACUUAAAUAAAAAGGGAAAGUGGAAAUCAUAUCCACAUUUCCUUUACCGGUAUUUUUAAAGUAAAUUGACAUAACUCAAAAGGAGUGAAUUUUGAACUCAAGUACUAUAACAUAUAUAGCUGUUUGGUAACCAUUCCGAAUAUACCUGGGAUAGUCUGGUAUACAGGCUAAUACAGUUAUUUCUUACACAAUUACAUUUUAUUUAUGUGAGGUAUAGAGUAGUAAGUUCUGAGUGGGAAUCCUAAUGCUACAGCUUGAUGGAAUCAGUAUGAAAAAUAUCUUAAGAAAUUUAAAUUUCCAUUUUUAAAAGAGAAUGUCUUUUGUGUUUAAAGUAGGACAAUAUUGGAGAUGGGAAAAAAAGCUAAAAUUGAAAAUAAGACAAAGAAAUGAAAAUGCAGUGAUUGCACAUGAAUUUUUUUAAUGUUGCAAAUUUUUAUCCAGAACUAAGAGAUAAAUAUAAUGAUGCAAGUUAAAUAUUCAUGUUUUCUAUCUAAUGGUUAAGAAGUAAAAAUACCACUGAAUGUCCUUUCUAUACCUCCACAAUAUGAGGACAAAUCUCUGUGGAGAUGUGAAAAAUACAUAUGUUUAUAUUUGCUGUUGUUUUUGCUGUUAACAGUGAAGUUAACACUUUUCUAACAAUGAAUUACACUUUUCUAUAAAAUCAUUCCUGAACCACUUUGUCUUUGUGAAACUAUGUGUGUAAAUUAUUGGGUGAGAAUACCUGUAUAUGUAGAUGGAUAGAGUUUUCAUAGAGUUUGAAUAACAUAAAAAUAUAAUCAGUCUAUACUGUGUGACAUGAUUUGUGGUCUCUACCAUCCAUUUCCACUUUACUAAGUUAUCCUCACUGUAUUCAGAUGCUUCCCUGCUGUGGUACACACACAUACCUGGCCAAUAUGUUUACCUCUAGCUAUGUUCUGUUAGAAUUAGCUUAGAUGUGACAUUAGAUUGCUCCAUAUUAUGCCUCUUCUAAUGAGCAUUAUUUCAUGUCCAUUAGAACGGUCUUGAGUCAUGUAACUGAAUCCUUAAAUAUUGUUGUUUACCAAAUUCCAGUUACUCUAUAAAUAGCGAAUGAGAGUUACUGAGAAUAAUGGAAGAUAAUGUAUUAUACACUCUAUUAAUCAUAGAAUGGAUAAGGUAUAGGGAGAAAUAAUGGUGAACUUUAUUACCUUUCUAAAGGUAUACAAGUAGCACUCAUGCCAAGUAAUCCAUUCUCACCUGUGAUUGGUAGAAAUAAAGGGAGAGAAGAUACAGCAGCAAGACAUAGUAUAUAAAAAUCACCUUUUAAAUAGACCUGGCAAAUGGGCUUCAAACUAUACAUAUCUAUUUUUUAAUUAUAAAAUUAAAUUUUUAGAUUACUUUUAGCUUUACUGAAAACCUGAGAGGAAAAAACGUAGACUUCUUAUAUACUCCCUCACUUCCAUCACCCCCCCCACCAACUAAUAAGUUUCCUCCCUCAACCCUGCUAGUUUCUCUUGUUGAUAACAUCUGGAACUUUCAUAACAUCUGGUUAUGAUGAAUGAGCCAUUAUAGAUAAAAUAUUAUUUUUUUGUCUUUUUUUUUUUUUUUUAAGGGCCGCCCUAUGGCAUAUGGCAAUUCCUGGCCUAUGCCACAGCCACAGAAAUAGCAGAUCUGAACCUCCAUCCUCAUGGAUCCUUGUCAGAUUCAUUUCUGCUGAACCAUGAUGGAACUCCCUAAUAAAAUAGUAUUAACUAAAGUCCAUAAUUUACAUUAGAGUUCAGUUUUUGUAUUGGACAUUCUAUGGGUCUGGGCAAAUGCAUAAUGAAAUAUAUCCACCCUGAAGAAAAGUUUCACUGCUCUAAAAUUCUCCUGUGUUCCACCUAUUUAUUUUUCACUUGCUCACUCCCUACCUCAGCUCUUUUUACUAACUGCACACUUUUAUCUUUACAAGAAUGGCAUAUAGUUAGAAUCAUACAGUAUUUUAGCUUUUCUGACUGUCUUUGAUUGUCUUCUUUCACUUGCAAUAUGCAUUUUAAGUUCUUUUUUGUCAUUUGGAAGAUUGAUCUCAUUUAUGUUUAUUGCUGAAUAAUAUUCUUUUGCAUAGAAAAACUGCAAAUUGUUUAUCCAUUUAUCUACUUAGGGACAUCUUAGUUGCUUCCAAGUUUUGGCAAUUCUGAAUGAAGUUGCUAUAAACAUAUAGGUAGAAGUUUUUUGUGUGAACAUAACUUUUCAAUUUACUGAGUAAAUACCAAUGAGUGUGAUCAUUUGUUCAUAUGAUGAAUGUGUUUAGUUUUUAUAAGAAGCCAUCAAAAUACCUUCCAGAAUGGUUGUACCAUUAGCAUCCCCAUCAGCAAUGAAUGAGAGUUCCUGUUGCUCCCAGUCACACAUACACAUAUAUAUUCCUUUUUCUCACAUAAUCAUGCUUAUUUACAUAAUUAUACUUUCCGGAAUUUGGUGUUGUCAGGAUUUCAGUCAUUCUCACAGGUAUAUAGUAUAUCUCAUUUUUUUUUUGACAUAUACUUUUUAUUGGUAAUAACUGCUUAUGCCAUUUUGAGGAUCUUCAGGAAACUUCUGUAAUCAAUUAGUGUAUUUUGGGGGAGGAGAGGGUAAUCCAUUGUUGUAAUUUACAUUUGCUUUUCACAAUUUAGGGUUCUGGUGGAUUGAACUGUAUGAAUUAGAGCAAUCAAAUAAUUCAAUCCUACAUUUGUCAGUAAUCAGAUUAUAACAAUUUUCUCUUUUUCAAGCACUAUGAUUGAAUUAAGGGGCAUAAGGAGCUAUGAAGCUCAGAAGCUAUCAUCACUUAGACUUUGUUGUAUGUCAAAAAUCAUACACAAAAAUCAUAGCUUUGUUGUAUUUCAAAAAUUGGACUGUAAGAGCAUCCAAUCCAAUUUCUCCUCUUUCUUUGCCUUUCUAUUUUGUACCUUCUAGCCAUAUAUCUACUGUGGGAAAAAAUGUCUGUCUUCAUAUGACUUAUGAGAGAAAAAACAAAAUACUCAGGCAGACUGACGUUUUUCCUAAUCUGACCAUGGCCAGUUUCUGAGAUCACUGGUGAUUACUCUGAGCUCAAGCUAAGCUGUAUUUUCACUUUUUCCAAGGUACUUUCUCUCAACUCACAACAUUUACCUACAGUAGUCUUGCUGAUUUGACUCGUCUUCCUUAUAUUCUCUACCAAUUCAAAUAUUACCAAUCUUUCUUCAAAUUCUUAUUAAUUCCUCUACUAAUAAUCACAAAAGACCUUGCAUUGUUAACUAAACAUGGAUUGUAUCUUUAUUAUAUCCUUCUAUGUAAACGAUAUGAUUUAGAAAGAGAAAGAAAAAUCCUUUUGUAUUUUUUUGCAGUCCUUAAAGUACAAUGUUCGUAGUAUUUAUUAAUGCCUGUUCAUUGAAAGGGUAUAUCAAAACAUUAAUUCUUAUAAUUAUGUAUAUAUACUAUUGGUUUUUUAAUGAUUUUUAUUAAAUAUUGGCUUUUUAAAUGAUUUUUAUUUUUUCCAUUAUAGAUGGUUUACAGUGUUCUUUCAAUUUUUUACUGUACAGCAAGGUGACUCAGUCACACAUACACAUAUAUAUUCCUUUUUCUCACAUAAUCAUGCUCCAUCAUAAGUGAGUAGGCAUAGUUCCCAGUGCUAGACAGCAGGCUCUCAUUGCUUAUCCAUUCCAAAGGCAAUAGUUAGCAUGUAUUAACCUGAAAUUCCCAGUCCAUCUCAUUCACUCCCCCUCCCCUUUGGUAACCACAAGUCUGUUCUCCAUGCUUAUGAUUUUCUUUUCUGUGGAAAGGCUCAUUUGUGCCAUAUAUAGAUUCCAGAUAUAAGUGAUAUCAUAUGGUAUUUGUCUUUCUCUUUCUGACUUCACUUAGUAUGAGAGUUUCUAGUUCCAUCCAUGUUGCUGCAAAUGACAUUAUUUUGUUCGUUUUUAUGGCUGAGUAGAAUUUCAUUGUGUAUAUAUACCACAUCUUCUUAAUCCAUUCAUCUGUUGAUGGACAUUUAGGUUGUUUCCCUGUUUUGGCUUUUGUGGAUAGUGCUGCAGUGAACAUACAAUGAAUAUGUCUUUUUCAAGGAAAGUUUUGUCCAGAUAUAUGCCCAAGAGUGGGAUUGCUGGAUCAUACGGUAGUUCUAUAUUUAGUUUUCUGAGGUACUGCCAUACUUUUUUCUAUAGUGGUUGUACCUAUUUACAUUCCCACCAACAGUGAAGGAGGGUUCCCCUUUCUCCAUACCCCGUCCCUCAUUUGUUAUUUGUGGACUUAUUAAAGAUGGCCAUUCUGACUGGUGUGAGAUGGUAGUUUUGAGUUUCAUUUCUCUAAUAAUCAGUGAUGUUGAGCAUUUUUUCAUGUGCUUGUUGGCCAUCUGUAUAUCUUCUUUGGAGAAAUGUCUAUUCAGGUCUUUUGCCCGUUUUUCAAUUGGGGUUGUUGGCUUUUUUGCUGUUGAGUUGUAUAAGUUAUUUGUAUAUUUUAGAGAUUAAGCCCUUGUCAGUUGCAUCAUUUGAAACUAUUUUCUCCCAUUCUGUAAGUUGUCUUUUUUUUUUUUUCUAAUGGUUUCCUUUGCUUUGCAAAAUCUUGUCUGUUUGAUUAGGUGACAUUUUUUUAUUUUUGCUUUUAUUUCUGUUGCUUUGGGAGACUGACUUAAGAAAACAUUUGUAAGGUUGAUGUCAGAGAAUGUUUUGCCUAUGUUCUCUUAUAGGAGUUUGAUUGUGUCUUGUCUUACAUUUAAGUCUUUAAGCCAUUUUGAGUUUAUUUUUGUGCAUGGUGUGAGGGUGUAUUCCAGUUUCAUUGAUUUACAUGUGGCUGUCCAGUUUUCCCAGCAUCACUUGCUGAAAAGACUUUCCCAUUUUAUAUUCUUGCCUCCUUUGUUGAAGAUUAAUUGACCUCCUUUAUUUCUGGAUUUUCUAUUCUGUUCCAUUGUAUGUCUGUUUUGGUACUAGUACCACACUGUCUUGAUUACUGUGGCUUUGCUUUUUUGUUCUAUUCUAUUUUUGUCUGUGUCUUUUUUAGUGUCGCACCAGCGGCAUAUGGAGAUUCCCAGGCUAGGAGUCUGAUUGGAGCUGUAGCCACCCCAUGGUCACAGCAACACAGGAUCUGAGACACCCCAGCCUACGGCAAUGGAUUACUGUGGCUUUGUAAUAUUGCCUGAAGUCUGGGAAAGUUAUGCCUCCUGUUUGGUUUUUGUUCCUCAGGAUUGCUUUGGCAUUUCUUGGUCUUUUAUGGUUUCCUAUAAAUUUUUGGAUUGUUUGUUCUAGUACUGUGAAAAUUGUCAUGGAAAAAAAAUUCCAAAAAAAACAAACAAAAAAACAAAACGGAGUUCCUGUCGUGGCAUAGUGGAAAUGAAUGAGACUAGGAACCAUGAGGUUGUGGGUUUGAUCCCUGCCCUGCCUCAGUGGGAUAAGGAUCUGGCAUUUCCAUGAGCUGUGGUGUAGGUUGCAGAUGAUGCAGCUUGGAUCUGGUGUUGCUGUGGCUCUGGUGUAAGCCAGCGGCUACAGCUCUGAUUAGACCCUUAGCCUGGGAACCUCCAUUUUCCGCGGGUGCGGCCCUAAAAGG